AUGGCCCUGCUAGCGGCGCACGCUGACAUCCUCGCGUGCGUCCUCGGCCAUCUCGCGCCGCGCAGCCUCGCCGUGUCCCGCAGUGUCUGCAAAGGCUGGCGCGCCAUUGUCGACGACUACCGCCUGCUGCGGACGGACCUCCUCCCGCUCUCGCUCCACGGUAUCUUCUUCAUGGAGGAGCUCUGUCCAGACCCACCAAAGCUCUUCGCAAACCCACUCACAAAGCACAGAAUUGACGACGCAAGCCUUGGUUAUGUCAAGAACGACGAGGGUUCAUUUAUCGAGAAUCACUGCAACGGGCUUCUCUUGCUUUGGAACCACCUCGUGGUUAAUCCGGCGACUCGUCAAUGGGUGCGUUUGUCUCCGCCCCCGCCUAGGUGCACAGGGAUGGAGGACUUUCGCAACGACGUGUGCCUUGUUUAUGACCCCACCGUGUCGCCGCACUACGAUGUGCUUCUUCUUCCUUGUGUCUCCUACGGUCUUCUUGAUUGCGCAACAACAAUAUUCACGGAGGAAUCGGAGUGGCCGCCCUUGGCCUACCCAAUACAAGUCUUCUCUUCAAGGACAUGGAGAUGGGAGGAGAGGUCGUUGGCCCGGAGAGGAGAGGCUGCAGGGACCAUCGCUGACAUGGAUCCAUAUAGGGAUUAUGAACACCGUUAUGCCGUCUACUGGAAAGGAGCGAUCUAUGUGCAUUGUCAAAAUGACUCCAUUUUACGCAUAACCUUAAUGGAUGGUUCGUAUGAAGUGAUUAAAUCGCCAACAGGAAGUAAAAUGGAAGAUUCCACCAAUCUUUAUCUAGGGAAAUCAAAGAAGGGGGUGUACUGCACUUUGAUUUAUAAUGAUACCUGGGGGGGACUUCAGAUUUGGUUGCUUACUGAAUCAUGUGGUAAGUGGGAGUGGGUGCUAAAGAAUGGCAUCAACUUCGCGGCAGCGGUGGCAAAAUUUUCUUGGUUUUCUCGUGAUGAAAACCAAGGACCGUGGAUCCUACAGAAAGGUGAUUGUGAUGAAAAUGUUAAGGAAGCACCAGUGCAAGAUAACUAUGAAUGGGACUUCGACAAUGGUAUUAUCCUUGUGGCUGAAGAUAAGGUUGAAUCUGACGAUAUGAAUUUGGGAGUGCUUUAUUUCCUUGGAUUUCAUCCAUACAAAGAGAUUGUCUUCCUACGAACACAAGCGAGGGUAGUUGCUUAUGAUUUCAGUAGAUUGAAAGUACAAGACUUGGGCCAGUUACGUGUACAGUGUGUAGGAAGUGUUUUCCCCUACACACCAUGUUGGACGGGAGAUAUAUCUGAAAAGAAUUAA
rnacentral:rRNA from 1 species